rnacentral:rRNA from 1 species
AUUGAACGCUGGCGGCGUGCUUAACACAUGCAAGUCGAGCGGUAACAGGUGUAGCAAUACAUGCUGACGAGCGGCGAACGGGUGAGUAAUGCUUCGGAAUCUUCCUCGUAGUGGGGAAUAACCUGGGGAAACUCAGGCUAAUACCGCAUACGAACUACGGUGGAAAGCAGGGGAUCGCAAGACCUUGCGCUAUGAGAUGAGCCGAAGUCGGAUUAGCUAGUUGGUGAGGUAAAGGCUCACCAAGGCGACGAUCCGUAGCUGGUCUGAGAGGACGACCAACCACACUGGGACUGAGACACGGCCCAGACUCCUACGGGAGGCAGCAGUGGGGAAUAUUGGACAAUGGGGGCAACCCUGAUCCAGCGACGCCGCGUGUGUGAAGAAGGCCUGCGGGUUGUAAAGCACUUUUAGUGGGGAUGAAAAGCCGAAGGCUAAUACCUUUCGGUCUUGACCUAACCCAAAGAAAAAGCACCGGCUAACUCUGUGCCAGCCGCCGCGGUAA